AGAACGAACGCUGGCGGCAUGCCUAACACAUGCAAGUCGAACGCUCACCGGGCUUCGGUUCGGUGGGAGUGGCGCACGGGUGAGUAGCGCGUGGGAACCUGCCCUGUUGUGGGGGAUAACCGAGGGAAACUUCGGCUAAUACCGCAUGCGCCCGGGGAAACCCGGGGAAAGAUUUAUCGCAGCAGGAGGGCCCGCGUCGGAUUAGGUAGUUGGUGGGGUAACGGCCUACCAAGGCGACGACGGGUAGCC
rnacentral:rRNA from 1 species